UAACAGGGCUCUUUGUCCACAAGCACCAGUGGCUCCUGAGAGCAAUGUCCCGGCCCUCCUCUCUCCCCCUGCUUACUGACCCACACACACAGGAAGCAACAGACACCCUUGUUCCUAUCAAUAGUUCCCAGCCUCUUUUCAUCCCUCUGCUGGCUUUCUAACUGUGUUCAUUCUAUCACGCUGCUCUGUUUGUCUCGGUUUCUGCUUGGUUGCAGUCACUAUGUUUGCUUGCUUUGAGUCCUUCCAUCUGCUUUGUGCGCUCUGUCUUUCUCUGUUUACCUUUGUUUAUAGGAACAGAAGAAAACAAAAACAUCAACCUACAGGACUGCAGCGUGGCUGUCCGAGCGAGGUGUUUUUUUUUUUUUUUAGAGGAAGUGAUUCAUUACAUUUCAAAUGUGGAGAUGAUGGUUGUCCGGCAGAAUACGCCCUGGACGCACGCACGCACGCCCGCCCAGAGACCGGAGCCAGCCGGAUCUCACAAUAGCAUAGAGGAACAGGAGUAUCAAACAACAGGUUCAUUUUUCUGCUGAGGCCUCCAAAAACAUGGCCGCCAUCACACUGCAGGAGCUUUGUUGAAGAGGACAAGAACUCAGCCCCCGUUGAGAUUCCACAGCCACGUGAGAGAAGGCAUGAAACAACUCAGGCGGUUUCAGAUUAGAAAAGGGGAAAAAUCAGCACGCAUCAACAUGGGGGGAAUCCUCUAAGCCUUUUUUCAAGCCUAUUUGCAAACAUGGCUGUGUAAAACCAGCCCGGAGAGCUCAUUAACAGAACACAGACUUCCUCUGGACUUGGCCACAAUCACCACCUGUUAGCAGGCUGACAGUAGAGAAAGAGCUUGGCCAAGGCAACAGGCUGAGACAACUAGGUCACCUGCUGUUCACACCAGCGGUGUGCCUCGAACCGGUCGCCUUGCUUAGCUAAUGUUUCACCUGGCCAAGAGGAGAGGAGGGAGUUCACCUGUUCGAGUCCAGCUUGGACCAGAGUUGUGGAGCGUGGACUGGUAGCUUGAGAGGUGCCAGUUCACCUCCUGGGCAAUGCCGAAGGUGGCCUUGAGCAAGCCCCAGAACUCCCAACUUGCCACACUGAAUGGCAGCCCUUCACUCUGACAUCUCUCCGUGUGUUGUUGCAUGUGCAUGUGUGUGUAUACUAAUAACAAUAAUAACACCAGAGUGAGAACAUUAAAUUUCCCCUUGUAAAGUAUGUCUUCUUCUUCUUCUUUCUAUCAUGUCUAAUUUCCAUCCAUCCAUCCAUCGUCAAUUGCUUAUCCUGCAUACAGGGUCGCGGGGGGCUCGAGCCUAUUCCAGCUGACACUGGGCGAAAGGCGGGCUACACCCUGGACAGGUCGCCAGUCCAUCACAGGGCCAUGUCUAAUUUGCUUAGUUUUAUUUCUUUCACAGAUGAUGAUUGGCAUGUUAGGGUAUUCAGUCCAUUAAGACAUCUUUUUACUCCAAAGCAGUCAGCACACAGGUAUUGUAUGAAUUUCUGCAGCAUAUAAUUAUGGCUCCUUAUCAUGGGUCAAAAGACAAACUCUGUGGAUUUUCUUUUGGCGGUGAAGUGAAUUUAGAGAGUCCGACCUAUAUUCAUUAUCUCAAAACGGUGCAGUAACUGCUAUGAUAAGACUGUCCUCUUUUCUCUUGAGGUUGAUAAGGUUGUUACUGAGUGACUAACCAGGUUGGGUAAAUGUUACAGAUGUGUAACAGUCGCCAUUAAACAGUAAAACCUUAA